GUCCCGAGUUUGAUCCCUGGUACCAAAAAAAACGAAGACCUAGAUUUUAUUCUUUGCCUCCAACAGUCAAUAGGAUUCAAAAAGAGAGAAAACUAUAGUGAAUUAUCACCUGAGAAUGCCAGCCUUCAUUUGAGGCACCCCAGAUGGACCCCAGAUGUCCAUUCCAAGCUCAGUUGUUCCUAGGUGGCUCGUUAUGGCCCUAGUCAUCUUUUCCAAGAAAGAAUUGGGAUAGUCUGGCACUAAAUUGUGGCCUUGAAUCUCCAAAGAUCUGAAAGGAAAGAGGGUUUGCUUAAAAGCUGUAGAAAACCUGCAGAAGGCCUGACUGCCAGUGUCCUGGGCCCGUGGCAGCCUAGAGCCUGACCAAAGCUGUAGAAACAGCACUGCCUGUCCCCAGACCUCCAUGUGGCAGAGGCCGAUGGGGAGGCCAAGUCACGUCCACAUCCCUACAUUCUCCGCAUAAUUCUGCUCCGCUUUGGGCCUCCCCAGCUGCGAUGUCAGUGCACUUUGGAGGAGGGCCUCGUGUCAAGUCGCCUCUGAUUUGAACUAAGAGAGAAACAACACAGGCUGGUUUAGAGUUUGAUGACUUUGAAAGGCAGAGGAAGACAAUUAGCUCUCACUUAAGCCAAGGUUUGUUUAUUUCACUUAGCUUAAGCCAAAUCUAAUGGUUUUCCGAAUUUAGGGAGGGCCUGUACUUGAGCCAUUCACAGAGAGAUACAUUCCUCUCUCCAAAUGCAGGGUUUUCUCCACUCUGGCUUUACAAGGCCUCCUCUUUCAGGCAGAGUUGCUGCUUGGGUAUUGAUGGCCACGCUGCCUUUAUCCGUCUCCAUUGCAUUUCCUUGCGAAUGCACUUAGACUUUCAAUCACCUGACUGCAGUACAAUUGAUUUUUUAAAAAUUGACCACACAUUUUGAUCACCUGAAAUACACACUGUGGAAGGAAGUAUUUUCGCAGUUCACAAAAGCUACAGUCUACUUGGUACAUGGAUUGCGGAUGUGUACUGGGCACCACUGUUUUCAGAAAGUUACUCUUUUUUUUUUCCCACUAGUGUUUGUGAUUUUUAAAACUUGUAAAUGAAUUUUCUUGAAUUAUAUAUUUUUAUUUCCUGUAAAAUUAUGUAUUAUUAAAGGCCAAUUUUAGUGGUUUAA
rnacentral:lncRNA from 1 species